rnacentral:miRNA from 1 species
UUUCUGCUUCUGCCGCUGAGCA